UACGGAGGUGGCAAGCGUUGUCCGGAAUUACUGGGCGUAAAGCGCGCGUAGGCGGAUUAGUCAGUCAGAGGUGAAAUCCCAGGGCUCAACCCUGGAACUGCCUUUGAUACUGCUAGUCUUGAGUUCGAGAGAGGUGAGUGGAAUCCCGAGUGUAGAGGUGAAAUUCGUAGAUAUUCGGAGGAACACCAGUGGCGAAGGCGGCUCACUGGCUCGAUACUGACGCUGAGGUGCGAAAGCGUGGGGAGCAAACAGG
rnacentral:misc_RNA from 1 species